UGAGCUACUCCAAGGCAGCCUAAAUAAAGGGCAAACCCGUCUCUGUGGCAAAAGAGUGGGAAGAACUUUGAGUAGAGGUGACAGACCUACCGAACUUAGUAAUAGCUGGUUGCCUGUAAAAUGGAUAGAAGUUCAGCCUAUUAACUUUUUUACCCUUAAUUGGUCUCACCCUUAAACCAGGCGCCAAGAAGUUAAUAGAGUUAGUCAAAGGAGGUACAGCUCCUCUGAAAAAAGAAACAACUUUAUAAAGGUGGUAAAAGAUUAAAAUUAUUAAGGUGCCAUGUUUUGGUGGGCCUAAAAGCAGCCACCUAGAAA
rnacentral:rRNA from 1 species